rnacentral:lncRNA from 1 species
CUUUAGUUUCUGGGAUAAUGUAUUGUUAUCUUCCAAUUCUUUGUUGAAUUUGUGACCAAGUAAUGUGAAAGUACCCUUUUCCUUCAAUAACUUUUCUUUUGUCCAACGUUCUAGAAUAGUACUCAUAUACUCAACAACACAGUAUAAUCCCACUUAGUGGGGUCUGUGGAGGGUAGUAUGUACGCAGACCUUACCCUUGGAUAGAGAGGCUGUUUCCAAAUAGACCCCCGGCAUCUUUCCCUCCAAGAACUUCCCUCCUCGCUCUUGGGGAGACUCGAACUCACAACCUCUCGGUUGGAAGUGGGGGUUGCUUACCAUC